rnacentral:rRNA from 1 species
GGGAGCCUGAGAAACGGCUACCACAUCCAAGGAAGGCAGCAGGCGCGCAAAUUACCCAAUCCCGACACGGGGAGGUAGUGACAAUAAAUAACAAUACAGGGUUCUUUUGGAUCUUGUAAUUGGAAUGAGUACAAUUUAAAUCUCUUAACGAGGAACAAUUGGAGGGCAAGUCUGGUGCCAGCAGCCGCGGUAAUUCCAGCUCCAAUAGCGUAUANNNAAGUUGUUGCAGUUAAAAAGCUCGUAGUUGAAUUUCGGGAUCAAUAUUUCGGUCAUGCCGUUGGUAUGCACUGUUAUCAUUGAUUUCUCACCUUCUAAAGAACCGUAAUGCCAUUAAUUUGGUGUUACGGGGAAUUAGGACUGUUACCUUGAAAAAAUUAGAGUGUUUAAAGCAGGCUCACGCUUGAAUACAUUAGCAUGGAAUAAUGAAAUAGGACAUCCGAUUCUAUUUUGUUGGUUUCUAGGAUCACCGUAAUGAUUAAUAGGGAUAGUUGGGGGCAUUAGUAUUCAAUUGUCAGAGGUGAAAUUCUUGGAUUUAUUGAAGACUAACUACUGCGAAAGCAUUCGCCAAGGAUGUUUUCAUUAAUCAAGAACGAAAGUUAGGGGAUCGAAGACGAUCAGAUAUCGUCGUAGUCUUAACCAUAAACUAUGCCGACUAGGAAUCAGACGAUGUUAAUUUUUUAAUGACUCGUUUGGCACCUUACGG